CGCCGCGCCGCCCUUAACCCUUACCGCGGCCCGGGCCGGCCCCGCCGAGCCGCGCCUGCUCCGGCGGGCGGGGGGAGCGGAGUGGCGCUGAGGGGACGAGCGGGGACAAGGCCCGUAAUGGAUCCUAUCAAUGCACCACCUUGAGAAACACAAGACUGUGGUCUGAAACACAAGAUAAAGGCAGCCUUUAAAUACAGGAUAAGAGUUUUUGCUGUCAUGGAUGAAGCCUGCUGAGGAGUCCUGAGCAUGAGCUUCCUGAUCACACCAGUAAUGAAGACUGAGUCCUCACUUUCAUAAACACUUCUAAGUUAUUUCUGGUGCAGUUGAACUCAGACUGUUUGUUGUUGCUGGGUUAGAUUCAAAGUGUCAUAUGUACUCAUGUAGUUCUGUCUUGUCUUUUUUCUGACAACUCUGACAACAUAAAAUGUUGCAUAACAUGGGGGAUACAUAAAUUGUGGAAAAACCUGACCACGGAGAAAU